rnacentral:rRNA from 1 species
AGUGAACGCUGGCGGUAGGCCUAACACAUGCAAGUCGAACGGCAGCACAGUAAGAGCUUGCUCUUACGGGUGGCGAGUGGCGGACGAGUGAGGAAUACAUCGGAAUCUACUUUUUCGUGGGGGAUAACGUAGGGAAACUUACGCUAAUACCGCAUACGACCUACGGGUGAAAGCAGGGGAUCUUCGGACCUUGCGCGAUUGAAUGAGCCGAUGUCGGAUUAGCUAGUUGGCGGGGUAAAGGCCCACCAAGGCGACGAUCCGUAGCUGGUCUGAGAGGAUGAUCAGCCACACUGGAACUGAGACACGGUCCAGACUCCUAUGGGAGGCAGCAGUGGGGAAUAUUGGACAAUGGGCGCAAGCCUGAUCCAGCCAUACCGCGUGGGUGAAGAAGGCCUUCGGGUUGUAAAGCCCUUUUGUUGGGAAAGAAAAGCAGCAGGUUAAUACCCCGCCGUUCUGACGGUACCCAAAGAAUAAGCACCGGCUAACUUCGUG